AUUGAACGCUAGCGGGAUGCCUUACACAUGCAAGUCGAGCGGAGUGGCGAACGGGUGAGUAAUGUAUCGGAACGUGCCCAGUAGCGGGGGAUAACUACGCGAAAGCGUAGCUAAUACCGCAUACUAUUGGAGCGGCCGAGAUCGGAUUGGCGAGUUGGGGGGGUAACGGCGCACAAAGUCGACGAUCCGUAGCUGGUUUGAGUGGACGACCAGCCACACUGGGACUGAGACACGGCCCAGACUCCUACGGGAGGCAGCAGUGGGGAAUUGUGGACAAGGGGGGAAACCCUGAUCUAGCCAACCCGCGUGGGCGAUGAAGGCCUUCGGGUUUUAAAGCACUUUUGGCAGGAAAUCGGUACCUUCAGAAUAAGCACCGGCUAACUACGUGCCAGCAGCCGCGGUAAUAC
rnacentral:rRNA from 1 species